UACGUAGGUGACCAGCGUUGUCCGGAUUUACUGGGCGUAAAGAGCGCGCAGGCGGUCGUUCAAGUCGAGUGUGAAAGCCCCCGGCUCAACUGGGGAGGGUCACUCGAUACUGAUCGACUUGAAGGCAGGAGAGGGAAGCGGAAUUCCCGGUGUAGUGGUGAAAUGCGUAGAUAUCGGGAGGAAUACCGAUGGCGAAGGCAGGUCUCUGGGCUGACACUGACGCUCAUGCACGAAAGCGUGGGGAGCAAACAGG
rnacentral:rRNA from 1 species